rfam:Thermincola sp. JR, complete genome.
GGUCAAGUUAGUAAGGGCGUACGGUGGAUGCCUAGGCGCCAGGAGCCGAAGAAGGACGUAGAAAGCUGCGAAAAGCCACGGUGAGCCGCAAGCAGGCGUAGACCCGUGGGUGUCCGAAUGGGGGAACCCGGCGGGGGUAAUACCCCGUCACCCUGUGCUGAACCCAUAGGCACAGAGGAGGCAACCCGGGGAACUGAAACAUCUAAGUACCCGGAGGAAAAGAAAACAACAGUGAUUCCGUAAGUAGCGGCGAGCGAACGCGGAGGAGCCCAAACCCUCCUGGAGGUUAGAGGUUAGAAGUUAGAGGUUAGAUUAAGAAGGAAUUCGCGGAAGCGAAUUCCAACACAAUCCAACUUCCAACAUCUAAUUUCCAACCUCUAGGAGGGGGUAGCGGGACUCUCGUUAAGGCUAAGGAACCUAGCCGAACCGUCUGGAAAGGCGGAGCACAGAAGGUGACACUCCUGUAGGCGAAAGGGGAAAUAGCUGAGAGAGGAUCCCAAGUACCACGGGACACGGGGAAUCCCGUGGGAAUCAGGGAGGACCACCUCCUAAGGCUAAAUACUCCCUGGCGACCGAUAGUGAACAAGUACCGUGAGGGAAAGGUGAAAAGCACCCCGGGAGGGGAGUGAAAAAGAACCUGAAACCGUAUGCUUACAAGCAGUCGGAGCGCCAUAAGAGCGUAACGGCGUGCCUUUUGUAGAAUGAACCGGCGAGUUACGGUAGCUAGCGAGGUUAAGUACUUAAGGUACGGAGCCGCAGGGAAACCGAGUCUGAAAAGGGCGAGGAGUUAGUUGCCGUAGACCCGAAACCGGGUGAUCUACCCAUGUCCAGGGUGAAGCUAAGGUAAGACUUGGUGGAGGCCCGAACCGACCGACGUUGAAAAGUCGGCGGAUGAGGUGUGGGUAGGGGUGAAAUGCCAAUCGAACUCGGAGAUAGCUGGUUCUCCCCGAAAUAGCUUUAGGGCUAGCCUUAAGGGAUGGUUUAUGGAGGUAGAGCACUGAAUGGGCUAGGGGCCCUACCAGGUUACCGAACCCUAUCAAACUCCGAAUGCCAUAAACUUACCUUAGGAGUCAGACUACGAGUGCUAAGAUCCGUAGUCGAGAGGGAAACAGCCCAGACCGUCAGCUAAGGUCCCAAAGUCCGUGCUAAGUGGAAAAGGAUGUGGGAUUGCACAGACAACCAGGAUGUUGGCUUAGAAGCAGCCAUCAUUUAAAGAGUGCGUAAUAGCUCACUGGUCGAGUGGCCCUGCGCCGAAAAUGAACCGGGGCUAAGCACGGCACCGAAGCUACGGAUUGAGAUGUGUCAAUAGUGCUCUUAGAGAGUGCUUAGACACGGUGAAUUAAGCGAAAACCAAUCGCUGUUAAGCGGUUAGAUGAAAGGUUUUCGCCAAAUGCCUCAGGCUAAGCAUGAAGGCUGAGAGUAGUAUUGACACAUCUCAGUGGUAGGGGAGCGUUCUGUACACGUCGAAGGUAUACCGUGAGGAGUGCUGGAGAGUACAGAAGAGAGAAUGCCGGUAUGAGUAAGCGAGAAGGCAGGUGAGAAUCCUGCCCGCCGGAAGCCUAAGGAUUCCUGGGGAAGGCUCGUCCGCCCAGGGUAAGCCGGGACCUAAGCCGAGGCCUAAGGGCGUAGGUGAUGGGAAAUCGGUUGAGAAUCCGAUGCCACCCACAGCCGUUUGAGGAAGGGAUGACACAGGAGGGUAGGCUAAGCCAGCGGAUGGAAGAGCUGGUCCAAGCGAGUAGGGCGUGUGGUAGGCAAAUCCGCCACACAUAGAGCCUGAGACGUGAAGGGGAACGAAAUUAGAGUAGUGAAGUAGCUGAUCCCACACUGUCGAGAAAAGUCUCUAACGAGGCAAGUGGGUGCCCGUACCGCAAACCGACACAGGUAGGUAGGGAGAGAAUCCUAAGGCGCGCGAGAGAACCCUUGUUAAGGAACUCGGCAAAAUGACCCCGUAACUUCGGGAGAAGGGGUACCUCAGUAGUGUGAAGGGUAGACAUCCGGAGCACGAAGAGGUCGCAGAGGAGAGGCCCAAGCGACUGUUUACCAAAAACACAGGUGCCUGCUAAGUGGAAACACGACGUAUAGGUGCUGACGCCUGCCCGGUGCUGGAAGGUUAAGAGGAGGGGUUAGCCUGAGAGGGCGAAGCUCUGAAUUGAAGCCCCAGUAAACGGCGGCCGUAACUAUAACGGUCCUAAGGUAGCGAAAUUCCUUGUCGGGUAAGUUCCGACCCGCACGAAAGGCGUAACGAUUUGGGCGCUGUCUCAACAAGGGGCUCGGUGAAAUUGUAAUACCCGUGAAGAUGCGGGUUACCUGCGACAGGACAGAAAGACCCCGUGGAGCUUUACUGUAGCCUGACAUUGGAUUUUGGUACGUCAUGUACAGGAUAGGUGGGAGACAGAGAAGCAUGGACGCCAGUCUGUGCGGAGUCGUCGGUGGGAUACCACCCUUGAGGUAUUGAAGUUCUAACCCACGUCCGUAAGCCGGAUGGGGGACAGUGUCAGGUGGGCAGUUUGACUGGGGCGGUCGCCUCCCAAAGAGUAACGGAGGCGCCCAAAGGUUCCCUCAGACUGGUUGGAAAUCAGUCGUAGAGUGUAAAGGCAGAAGGGAGCUUGACUGCGAGACCGACGGGUCGAGCAGGGACGAAAGUCGGGCUUAGUGAUCCGGUGGUUCCGAGUGGAAGGGCCAUCGCUCAACGGAUAAAAGCUACCCCGGGGAUAACAGGCUUAUCUCCCCCAAGAGUCCACAUCGACGGGGAGGUUUGGCACCUCGAUGUCGGCUUAUCGCAUCCUGGGGCUGAAGUAGGUCCCAAGGGUUGGGCUGUUCGCCCAUUAAAGCGGUACAUGAGCUGGGUUCAGAACGUCGUGAGACAGUUCGGUCCCUAUCCGUCGCAGGCGCAGGAAACUUGAGAGGAGCUGUCCCUAGUACGAGAGGACCGGGAUGGACAGACCGCUGGUGCACCAGUUGUCUCGCCAGAGGCACAGCUGGGUAGCUAUGUCUGGAGCGGAUAAGCGCUGAAAGCAUCUAAGCGCGAAACCGACCUCAAGAUAAGGUUUCCCAUGGAGUUAAUCCAGUAAGACCCCUGGCAGACUACCAGGUAGAUAGGCCGGGAGUGUAAGUACAGUAAUGUAUUGAGCUAACCGGUACUAAUAGGUCGAGGACUUGACCUA